UACGUAGGGGCCGAGCGUUGUCCGGAGUUAUUGGGCGUAAAGCGCGCGCAGGCGGCUUCGCGCGCCCGACGUGAAAGCCCCCGGCUUAACCGGGGAGAGUCGUUGGGGACGGCGGAGCUUGAGGGCGGGAGAGGUCGGUGGAAUUCCCGGUGUAGUGGUGAAAUGCGUAGAUAUCGGGAGGAACACCAGUGGCGAAGGCGACUUCCUGGCCUGUUCUUGACGCUGAGGCGCGAAAGCUAGGGGAGCAAACGGG
rnacentral:rRNA from 1 species